GGACUAUAGAGAGGCAGCUUCGCUUAUUUGAUUAGAUUGAGGCAGACAGAGGUUCAGGCCUUUGGGUGGAAGCAAGAAAGUAGUGACUCACAGUCAGCUCUCAUAAACCAGGCUUGGUCACCUGAUGGCUUGUACAUAACAUCUGGGUCGGUUGAUCCAGUCAUCCACAUUUUUGACAUAAGGUACAACUCACACAAACCUUCUCAGUCCAUUAAAGCCCAUCAAAAGCGAGUCUUCAAAGCUAUUUGGCAUCAUGCGGUCCCGCUCCUCAUUUCUAUAUCUUCUGAUUUGAACAUUGGGUUGCACAAAAUCGUUUGAGUUGCUGAGAGAGGUAUUACUAUCUCAGUCAUUUUCACCAUAUGUCUGCGGAAUUUUGUUUCCUAGAAGCAUAUGUCUUGAUGCCUUGCACCAAAAGAAACUCAUGGC
rnacentral:misc_RNA from 1 species